GAAAAUCUCAGAAACAACACCAGCCCUC
rnacentral:piRNA from 1 species